AUUAAUAUGUACAAUUUUUAUAAAAAUGUGAAGCCUUUUUUUGAUUUGAACAUUUUCUCACUCGUCUUAAUGACUUUUGUUGGCUUUCUUGUAGUGAGCUUAUUUACUUUUCAAUGCUUACAUUGAUAAUGUUUUGUGGAUUUUGUAGGAGGAAAACUUGGAAGAGGUCAUUGCACUUACUGUGAUAUAACUGUUAAAUUGUUUGUCUCACACAUAUCUUUCAGAUGCAAAGGAUAAUACUGACAUUAUGAAUUUUGUUACAGGCCCCGCCCAGGGAGCAAGCGGGGUUCCAUGAGAUAUAGAAAGUGAUGCAGGUCACCUUUGAUUUGGAAGCAUAAUCCAGUCUGCAUCCCAGCUCUUUCUCGUAUUAAGUUUCAUGCACUUCAUUAGAUUAAGUGAUUCUGGUAGAUGGAAAGUGUUGUCAUUUUUUAAAAUUAUUUAGGUCGAAUGCCAGUAAUUUCCAAUGCAAAUUGUUUUUAAUUCAAGUCAUGAUGGUAACGUUUAUUGUAGGAAACACAUUCUAUGCAUUUGAAGAUAUUGUUUUUUCUAAUAACAAAUGUUAAUAUGUUAGUUUUA